rnacentral:lncRNA from 1 species
ACAAUCAUCAAUCGAGCACAAAGGUAAACGAGUGAGGUAGGAGUACUUCAUCUUUCUGAAUUUCUUUGCGCUCUCGUUGAGUGGGUGCUUUAUUACGCAGAGGACGCAAGCGGCAGCAAUGUAAAGCAGCUUUCAUAGCCGAGGCUGGUCACAUGCCCGGUUUGGCUGCUUGCAGUAGAUGGAGCCUGUAGUCUGCUCGCAUCAUUACCUUUGUGAAAGGAAGCUGGCGCUCUUCCCCUGAAAUAUCUGGCGGAUUUCAGCUUCAGUUAACCAGAUUAGGCUGCCAAUUGCUAGUUAAUCUCUGGCUAACCAGAUUCUGCGGACGCGAACUCGAAUUAGGUGACUGUUUUAUUGUGUGGAUCCCACCAUAGGGCAUGCGCAACGUGCAUCGUGACUGGAACCGGAGAUGAAGCAGAUUGCCUGGUCGCGGCACCGCACACUGUAACUGCGGCAGCCACUAGGAAACUAGGCGAAAUGAAAAGCGAGAAGGGGGAAUGUGGUAGGAGAAAAAUAAGUGAUUUUGUUUCUUAUCUUGAAAAGAAAGUUUUAGACACUAGAUACAUAGAAAGAGAAACUUCAGUGCAAAGCGUGAUGUGGGAAAUUUUAGCGCUAGCAAAGGCACUCACAAUGUGCGUGCUAGGCCAAGGACGCCAAGGUAGAAUAGUCUUGAUGAUACCUCUUUCCACACCUUUGGAACCAACGAAUGAUUGCAAGUUCAUGCUCGCUACAGUCAGUUUGUAAGAAUUAAGCUAGGGACGUGUUUAGUUGACUACAUUAGGUUCAACCAGGCCAUGCCGAAAGAAAACGGGCUGAUCGAUUGCU